rnacentral:rRNA from 1 species
AGAGUGGGGGAUAACGCAGCGAAAGCUGUGCUAAUACCGCAUACGAUCUAAGGAUGAAAGCAGGGGACCGCAAGGCCUCGCGCUCAUGGAGCGGCCGAUGUCAGAUUAGGUAGUUGGUGGGAUAAAAGCUUACCAAGCCGACGAUCUGUAGCUGGUCUGAGAGGACGACCAGCCACACUGGGACUGAGACACGGCCCAGACUCCUACGGGAGGCAGCAGUGGGGAAUUUUGGACAAUGGGCGAAA